ACCUGAAGUGCUUCGCCAUCGUCGUGAAGCAGUCAGGCCUGUUGCACCAUCAGAUGCCCCGGGGAUACGCCGUCAGCCUGAUUACUGUGACCUAGUGC
rnacentral:lncRNA from 1 species